UAAUACGGAGGGAGCUAGCGUUGUUCGGAAUUACUGGGCGUAAAGCGCACGUAGGCGGCUACUCAAGUCAGAGGUGAAAGCCCGGGGCUCAACCCCGGAACUGCCUUUGAAACUAGGUAGCUAGAAUCUUGGAGAGGUCAGUGGAAUUCCGAGUGUAGAGGUGAAAUUCGUAGAUAUUCGGAAGAACACCAGUGGCGAAGGCGACUGACUGGACAAGUAUUGACGCUGAGGUGCGAAAGCGUGGGGAGCAAACAGG
rnacentral:rRNA from 1 species